UGGUCAAGUUAUUAAGGGUGCAGGGUGGAUGCCUUGGCACUAGGAGCCGAUGAAGGACGUGAUAAGCUGCGAUAAGCUUCGGGGAGUUGCACGUAAACUUUGAUCCGAAGAUUUCCGAAUGAGGAAACUCACUUAGAGUAAUGUCUAAGUAUCAUUAAGUGAAUACAUAGCUUAAUGAGGGGAACUCAGGGAACUGAAACAUCUAAGUACCUGAAGGAAGAGAAAGAAAUUCGAUUCCGUAAGUAGCGGCGAGCGAACGCGGAUUAGCCCAAACCAAUAAAGUUUUCUUUAUUGGGGUUGCGGACAUAUCAUAACGAAGAGGUAUCGUAAUUGAAGAGGUUUGGAAAGACCCACCACAGAAGGUAAUAGUCCUGUAUGUUAAACGAGAAGACUUCAGAUAUGAUCCAGAGUACCACGGGACACGUGAAACCCUGUGGGAAGCAGG
rnacentral:rRNA from 1 species